rnacentral:rRNA from 1 species
GACGAACGCUGGCGGCGUGCUUAACACAUGCAAGUCGAACGGAAAGGCCCUUCGGGGUACUCGAGUGGCGAACGGGUGAGUAACACGUGGGUGAUCUGCCCUGCACUUUGGGAUAAGCCUGGAAACUGGGUCUAAUACCGAAUAGGACCACGCGCUUCAUGGUGUGUGGUGGAAAGCUUUUGCGGUGUGGGAUGGGCCCGCGGCCUAUCAGCUUGUUGGUGGGGUAAUGGCCUACCAAGGCGACGACGGGUAGCCGGCCUGAGAGGGUGACCGGCCACACUGGGACUGAGAUACGGCCCAGACUCCUACGGGAGGCAGCAGUGGGGAAUAUUGCACAAUGGGCGCAAGCCUGAUGCAGCGACGCCGCGUGAGGGAUGACGGCCUUCGGGUUGUAAACCUCUUUCACCAGGGACGAAGCGCAAGUGACGGUACCUGGAGAAGAAGCACCGGCCAACUACGUGCCAGCCGCCGCCGUAAAAC